GGGCCUGUAGCUCAGCGGAGAGAGCACUGGCCUCCGGAGCCAGGGGUCGGGAGUUCAAAUCUCCCCAGGCCCG
rnacentral:tRNA from 1 species